UACUGAGAAGAAACAGCUUUCCUAUGGAAGCUUACAUUUUGGUGGGUCAGAUAAUCCACAGGUAGCCAAUGGCAGGUAGAAAUAUACUUGUGCUGCAGAGAAAAUGAAACAGGUGAUCAGGGACAGGAUAGUCAUUGCAGGUGGAGGGCCUCUGUCACUCAGUAGCGUGGCCGAGGAAGCCCCACCAAUGAAGUGACAUUUGACCUGAGGUCUGAGAAGGUAAUCACACAUUUUAGGGGAAAGCUUUUCAGGCAAGAGAAGCAGCAGGGACAGGGGCCUUUCUUCUACCUCAUCAUUGUAAAAGAACAAACAAAGAAGGCCACUGUGCCAAGGGGUGGAAUGAACCAUGACGGGGCAGGGCCAGGGGUUUGCAGAGGUCCUGGAAUGGGGUGGGGGUGGUAUGAGAUGGGUGCAGAGAAUGGGCAUGCCCUGGAGCUUUGCAGGCAAUGGUGAGGGGUUUGGCAUUUAUUCUAAAUGCAGAGGGAAGCUGUGGGAGGGUUAAAAGUGGGAGAAAAAGAGGAUUUUAUUAACACCGUAGGUUUAUUUAACAAAUACCCUGACAAUAGUAGUAUUGACACUCCAUAGGCAAUCCCACGUACUAACAGCCUGUGCGCUUGCUGUGAUGUAAACACCCCUUCUGUAUGAUUGGUUGGACCCAAAGAGAAAUAUUUUAUGCAAACUUAAUAAAUGAAUGAUCUCUCUUUGUGUUUCUAACAGUUUAAUAUGCAUCGCUUGGAGAAGUUCUAUGCAUUUUUAUCCCAGUGUGGGCAUAAAUUGUUCAUUCGGCUGGGGCCUGCCAAUUUUAGCGAAGGCCUCCUCUUCAUUUUGAUUGUAUCUCCCUUGUGGCUGCAUGUCAAAAUAGGACAUAGCAGCCUAGGCCAACCUGGAUUUAAUGACUAGGAAACCAUGGGAUUUCUAUGAUUUGGGGGCAUGUGGAGGCUUUCCUGAUGCCAGUUCCGAGGAUACAUGGCAUGAAGGUUAUUAGAUUAAUUGGACAAGCCUGUGCUUAGCUUCAGCUGCCUGCCUGUCAUCUGAACAUGAAACAUUGAAGAUGAGUUGCCUGAGCCCUCCCUCAUGAAAAUCAUCAUGCUGCUUUUCCUGUUCACCGACUGUUCUGCUGAGCAUUGCACUGUCCUGUAAGCACUGGCAGUGCCUGACAUUUAUAAUCUUUAUGGACCAGUGGGAUGUUUUCCAAGGUGCCUUUCAGAAACUCUCUGAAGUCCAGGUGUGGUUGAAGCCACACCUUGCAAUCAGGUCUGUUUUGUAGCUCCUCUAUGGACCUGUCUCUUACUGUGGUGUAACUGGAGAAUACCAAAGGCUUUUUUUUUUUUCCUUUUUUUUCCAAUGUGAAUUUUCUUUGGCCACAUCUGUAGCAUGUGGAAGUUCCAGGGCCAGGGAUCAAACCUGCACCACAGCCGUGACCUGAGCCACAGCAGUGAUAAUGCUGGAUCCUUAACCCAUAGGCACCAGGAAACUCCAACUGGUGGGGCAUGCUUGGAAGUGCUGAAGACCUGGAUUGGCUCUACUCCUAGGUGAUGAAGAGAAUGGUCAUCACCCUACAAAGAUUUGACUGUGAGCCCAAGGCCACCCGACCCUCUGGGAUGAUGGAGCCCUGGGUCUGAAGAGUUGGCGUCCGGUCUGCACAGUCCUCACCACCUAGGGAGUUAAAUAAAGACCAAGACUGGAGUUCCCAUUGUGGCUCAGCAGGUUAAGAACCCAACAUGGUGUCUGUGAGGAUGCGGGUUCGAUCCCUGGCCUUGAUCAGUGGGUUAAGGAUCCAGUGCUGUGUAGGUCACAGAUGCAGCUCAAAUCCACUCUUGCCACAGCUGCAGUUCUAAUUGGACCCCUGGGCUUGGAACUUCCAUUUUCUGCAGGUGUGGCUGUAAAAACAGAAAAAAACAAAAAACUAAAAGGUUCUCAACCAGACCCCUUACCACCAUUCAGAGUGCUAUCCCAUAAAUGCACCCAGCACAUUCACAUUUAAUUCAGAUGUGCUUAAAAAUUCUUAAAGUUGAUGACUUUUCAAGAAGCUCAGUAAUAGAAUGUAGCAGUAGUUGAGACAGAUUUGACCUCCAGCAGCAUCUGUGCUGCAGAUUUUAAUGUUGUGCAUUAAUGCUAGCACCAGUUUUUCUUUCACUGAUCACUCUCAUACUGCUUUCUCCCUGGACUUCCUACGUUACAGGGCAGGAGUCAUUUCUUAAAGAGCAGGUGUAUCAGCGUUAUUCUCUCACCUUGUCGGUAAAGACGCGGGCUGUUCCUCUGAGGCAGAUGUCUGGCAAGUUGAGGAGCUUGGUCCCCUCCAGGUCCCAGAGACCUUAAGCUCUGCGCUCCUCAUACUUAUCCACUCUGCCUUUCAGUUUGCGGGAAGACAUCGCUAAAUUCCAGAGUCAAUGCAAUGUCACUCUUUCCAGUUUAGAGGGUGUGGCAUGGUAAAUAGGAAGAGCGUUUCAAGAUCCUUUUUGCUCUGGUUUAGUAGGAGGGUGAUGAAAGAGGACAGUUGUCUUCAGGAUUAAGACCUCUUUGGGUUAAGACUGAAUGAGAGAUUUUUAGAUUUCGUAGGCUAGAAUUUUAUAAGAUUCAGUUCUCCCUGUGUUUGUUGACUAGAGGACACAUGGAAAAAGGGUUGGAUUGGACAGGGUUGUAAUAGAGGGAAUGAGAACAGAGUUAUAAUUUUUUUCUUAUGUGUCUGUAUUUUUCUUUCUUACUGAAAUCUCUCUCUCUUUUUUUUUUUUUUACUUAAAAAAUUCGAAUAAAAUGGGAAAAGUCACAAGGUUAAGAACCGUGCCAGAGUAGGUGACAGAUGGCCAUCUACUCCUGUCCGCUUGACUUCCGUCAGAGGCACGUCCCCUGGGUGAUGGGGGUUUUCACCCUUCUGUCUCACAUCCCCAUUCUCCACUGGGGGUUCAGCCAGGUGGGGCUCCGUCCCCUUGGGGAUCUUUCCAUCAUUGCUCUGUCCCCUUGGGGAUCAUUCCAUCUCAGCCGGUCUGACAGUCUGACUAAACAGUACUUCCCCCAGCUCCGAAACUGUUUUCUGACACUCCUCUCACUUGUGGUGGCCCACGAGGAAACGCUUUCAAGAGAAGGCAGGCUUGUAAGUGUCACUUGAAAGAGGCAGGUGCUUGAGGCUGGAGGGCUCUGCACUCAGGGCCAUAGACCCAGUGAUACCAACCCCAGUUUUUGUCACCACCUUAUCAUCUGCUUGCAUCAGGGGCUCUGGGUGGGCUCUGAUGUGCUGGUAAGGAUGUAAAAGCAGGGCAUUUUCUCCUGAAGCUAAUGGCUAGAAAAGGGGCCCCUUAUCUCACUUUCUCUCUGCUCCUUAGGGACACGAGGAGGGCCUCCAGGAGCAUUUGCACCCUUUGAAACUCAGUACCGUAAACGGGCUGCAUUAGUUGUCAUUGCGUCUCAUUUGGGCUGGACUUGUUGGAGCAAAGCAGCACUGUCAUCAUUGGAGUGGGACUCUUGCUUUGUGUGGGGUACUGUACUAGGGACUCAGGGGAAAUGGAAUUCCAAGUCAUUUGUCACGUUUUCUUUCUUUAAGGAGGUUGCAGAUUGACAGGGAGGCUGUGAGCCAUAGUUAUCAUAGCCCUUAAUAGCAUGGGGCCAACAAGGGACCAAUGACUACAGGUUCAGAAAGGCCCAGCAGAGAAAAUGAUGACAGAAGAGCAUACAGGGAGAUCAGCAGAGGGUGAUAAGGGGUGGAAGCUUCCUGGGAAACUGAUGGGGGUCCUGAGAAAGGGGGGCGGUUCUGAGUCAUGAGGAUUAUGGGUCAUGAAAUUCCAGGGAGAAAGCAUGGCAGGUAGAGCUGUUGGGGGUGAAAUGGCCGGUAGUGUUGAGGCUGAUGCUCGCGGUAUUGGAGAUUUAGAAGAAGGAGGAGUUAAGAUGAAAAUUCUGUUUUACCACAUUUUGUUAGUGGCCCUUUGAGCUAGAUGCUGAGCUCUGGAAGAAGACAAAGAGGAAUUUCAAGCUAAGUAACAAAGGGUGUGUGCCGCUGAAGGAGCUCAAUGCAUGGGGAGCAGCCUCAUCUUUCUAGAAUAUGAACACAUGCAGGAGAGUAAGUUGGAUGGAGGUCACGGGGGAGGCAGGUGGGUCAGUGGGAGGACAGGGGUGGGGAGAGCUUUUAUGGCAUGCUCAUGGCUCUGGACAUCAGCAAAUCUGAUAGAAAAUAUUGGAAAGAGUGUGAAUUUGAUUGGAUAGCUACCAGCUCCUAGGAAGCCACUGUAGACUUAUGAGCAGGAAAGUGACAUAACGAACGUGGUGUUUCAUUUCGCUAAUUAAAACUUUAAGCACUCUUAGAAUAGUCUUUUCUCAGUAUAAAAGUAGAUUACUUCCAGAAAAAUUCAAAAGUAGAAAAACCACAAAAAAGAAAAUAAACAUGUUGCAGAGUCCCGUGACCCACAGAUAAAAGUUCCAUCGUUUGAAUGCUUUGUCACAUUGACGCCUUUUCUGUGCACGUGUGUCAGGGGUAAAAUCACAGGAAGAUGUGAACUGGUGCCCAGCUUUUUUUCCUACUUAGAUGCAAAAUAGUUGAGCUAGAUUCUCUUUGUGGCGUCUUUCUGUGAGACACUUUUUGGUCUCACAGCCUCUUUCCUUUUGAUAUGUACACACUUAUGCAUUGUUUUGGGGGGCUUAUUGGUACCUCCAGAUUGUUUUUAAUUUGAAGAAAAUUCAGGUUGAUGUGUGGACAUCUGGGAUCCUGGAGAGGAUGGGAUAAGGGGCCAGGAUGUCUGUCAGGCUGAGGCCUGGGGGAGUAAGAUCACUCAUUGCCUCAGGGUGGUUGGGAUGCACGCAAGUGCACGUGUCUGUGGAUACCUCUGCUGUGUCCUUGGUCUUCAUUGCAGGAGAAUGAUUCCUGUAUUGUCUUUGCCUUUUCCUCUUUUUUUUUUCUGUUCCUUUAAUGGCUUUGAUAGCUUGAAGGGGAUUUGAGGGGGGUGAGGAGAGUUUUAUAAUUUGCAGUAUUGAUGUUGUAAGUGUUUCUUUUACCCAUGCCAUUUCAGAGUCAACAGAGACCCAAAUCAAAGAAUUACAAAACCAAACAAAAAUUUAAAGACACUCAAGGUCAAAGUUGAGAGUUCCAUCCAUGCUUUCCUCCCAGAGCCAAAUGUAUGUAAUAUGUAUUCCCCCCCCACCCCCUCCUUUGGAUCAUACUUUUGAAUCUUGCAUUUUCACUAAUACUGUGAGCAUUUACCAUUAAAUAUUAUAUUAUCCUUGCAGAUUCACAGUACUCAGUUGCAGGAAUGUACCAUAACUUAUUUAACCUUUCUUCUGUUAGACAUUGAGAUAAUUUUUCUCUUAAUGUUUUAGCUGUUACAUGAACAUCAGCUAUGGUGACCAUUCUUUUAUAGAAGUUCUUGCAAAUAUAGCUGAUAAUUCCUUUGGUAAAAAUUCUUGAAAAUGGAAUUCCUGUUUGGAAGAAGUAAGCUUUUAUACAGUUUUUGUUAUAUUGUCAAAUUUCCCUUUGGAAUGACUUGACCUGUUCAGCUGUCAGCAGGAGUGAGGCCAGCUGCUGCUCUGUACCAUUGUCUGUAUUGAGGAUUAUAUUUUGUUAUUUGCCUAUUUGGUAGGGAAAAUAGUGUUUAUUAUUUGUUUUUUUCUUUUUCCUUUGUAAAAAAUUACUGGUGAUCUGCACUUCUUACCUUUUUAAUUUUUUUAUCUAUUUUCUAUUUUUUGAAAUUACUGUUCGUGUCUUAACUCAUUUUAUCUGAUAUUUUUAAACCAUUUUCUUUAUUUCUUUCGAUGUAAUAAUACUGUUUCCUUUUCUCUUUAUGUUUUAUAUCCUUUGCCCAAUUUAUCUUGGAUCUUUUAAUUUGGGGUGAAUUUUAUGAUGUAUAUCAAUGUGUAAUUUUUACAUGGUCCAAUAUAUCAAGUUUUUUUCUAUCAUUGGUUUAAUGAUUAAGAGUGCCAGCUGUGGAGUUCCUGUCAUGGCGCAGUGGUUAACAAAUUCGACUAGGAAUCAUGAGGUUGCGGGUUCGAUCCUUGGCCUUGCUCACUGGGUUGAGGAUCCGGCAUUGCCAUGAGCUAUGGUGUAGGUCGCAUACGCGGUUCGGAUCCUGGCGUAGGCCGGUGGCUACAGCUCUGAUUGGACCCCUAGCCUGGGAACCUCCAUGUGCUGCGGGAGCAGCCCAAGAAAUG
rnacentral:lncRNA from 1 species